GACGAACGCUGGCGGCGUGCUUAACACAUGCAAGUCGAACGGAAAGGCCCUGCUUUUGUGGGGUGCUCGAGUGGCGAACGGGUGAGUAACACGUGAGUAACCUGCCCUUGACUUUGGGAUAACUUCAGGAAACUGGGGCUAAUACCGGAUAGGAGCUCCUGCUGCAUGGUGGGGGUUGGAAAGUUUCGGCGGUUGGGGAUGGACUCGCGGCUUAUCAGCUUGUUGGUGGGGUAGUGGCUUACCAAGGCUUUGACGGGUAGCCGGCCUGAGAGGGUGACCGGCCACAUUGGGACUGAGAUACGGCCCAGACUCCUACGGGAGGCAGCAGUGGGGAAUAUUGCAGAAUGGGCGGAAGCCUGAUGCAGCAACGCCGCGUGCGGGAUGACGGCCUUCGGGUUGUAAACCGCUUUCGCCUGUGACGAAGCGUGAGUGACGGUCAUGGGUACAGCAGCACCGGCUAACUACGUG
rnacentral:rRNA from 1 species